CACACAUACACACACUCGCCUUUCUUUCCUCUCUCUGCUGGGGCAGUGAGGCAAGCUUACUUUCGGAACGAUCUUUGAUGGGGCCUUUUUUUUCCCCCUGGAAAGGCCAUGCUGAACAAGUUCAACUUUUCUUCUGGGCUCUAGCAAAGAACUCCCAAUCCCUUACGUUCAGACUGUUAGUUGAAUAAAAUGACCUGGAUAUAGUUGGAAAGAGAAUCUAACCUCCACUGGCAAGUACGCCGGAGUCCAGGGAAAAAGCGAAAUGGAAAACACUGCUGCACAACAGGCAAAGUGAAAUGGGGCCAUCCAAUGAACUAUUUUGAUGAACUAUUAGGCUCAUGGCUGGUAAUGAUGAAGACAGCAGACAGCAGGUGUAAAGAAGCCUCACUGUUGCAGUCCAAAGUGUGACUGCAGAGUCAGCCAGGAAAGAAGGUCCCUGGUGACAUCUCUGUGCUCAUUCCUGCAGCAGCAAUGAUAAGAUGUAGACAGCACUGCUGAAUAAACUUUGGAACCAACAAUGAACUAUUUACAUCUGAGAACCUGGAGUCAUGAAGAAAGGAAUAAUAAUAUCCCAGUUAGUAGCAAGGAGGUGGCAAAACCUGAAGACCCUGGGAAGACAAAACCACUAUUCUCCGGCCUACACAGGAUAUCCUGCCUGGGCUUGUCCACAGACAUAUCACCCGGAACGUGUCAGAUCUCGUCAGGAUGUUCUUGGCUCACUUGUCUUUAUUCAUAUGACCAACAAUGAAUCCCUCCAAUGUAAAGCACCUCAUUGAAUUUAUUUCCAAAUCUGAAAUCCAGGUCCAGGGCACCAGUGGCAGAGAUCCUAAUCUACACGUGACUACUGAUAUCACCUGGACCCUCAUGAUUAUACAGUUUACUGUCCUCCUGACAACUUUUUAUCAUGAUUUGUAUAAUUUAGGCUCACUGAGUCUCUCCUACUUUUUUUAAAAAUUGAAAUUUCUACUCUUUUGAACAGAGAUAUAGUUAGUUUUGUAGAUAGUUUUGAUUGGUAAGGCUUAGUGCGUUAAUUUUAGGUGUUAUUCCUAAAUAUUAUAUGAACAAACUUAUCAAGAAAGUAUAUUACAAAUUUCUCCAAGUAUUUAGAAAUAGAGUUAUUCCUAUAAAACCUUUCCAAGCCCAGGGGCUGGGGCAAUAGCAUAGCAGGUAGGGCAUUUGCCUCACACACAGCUAACCCGGGUUCAAUUCCCAGCAUCCCAUAUGGUCCCCUGAGCAGCACCAAGAGUAAUUCCUGAGCACAGAGCUAGGAGUAACCCCUGUGCAUUGCCUAGUGUGACGCAAAAAGAAAAAAAAAUCUUUCCAAAGGCAAAUAGUGUAAAACUAAGAAAUAAUUACCAUUAAUUUAUAUGUAAAUGUGUUCUAGUGUUUCCAGGCCCAAAAGAUAACCUACUGAAAUAAUGCACAAACUGAAAUUUAUUCUAACAUCCAGUUAAAAUGCAAAUACUAUGAUCAACACAUCUUUUAUGAAGUUUCCUAGCAAGCAGCUGGUGGGUGUCACUCACGCUAGAGUUUGUCACUCACAAACUCUAGUCUGUUUAUGUGCUGCUCCUGAGUAGAUUGCCAUAAAACAGAUACUCUGUACUAAUUUUGCCUUUUUAUAUUUUGUCCUAAAAGUACAACAUAUCAAAACUUCUUUGGUUAAUGAAAAUAAAUAGGAACAUAACUCUUUCAUGAAAGCCAAGUAAUAUUAUGCAAACUUUUAAGAUGCAAAAGAUCUUUGUGCAAUAUUAGCAUUUUCAAAAAUAUAUAAAUAUACAGAGACUGGCCCACAUCCAAAAGAACAAAGGCAACCAGUGUUGGCAUGGAUAUGGGGAGAAAGGGAAUCUCCUUCACUGCUGGUGGGAAUGCUGACUUGUUCAGCCCUUUUGGAAAACAGUAUGGACGCUUCUCAAAAAAUUAGAAAUUGAGCUACCAUUUGAACAAGCAAUACCAUUUCUUGGAAUAUAUCCUGGAGAUGCAAAUAAAGUAUAGUAGAAAUGACA